rnacentral:rRNA from 1 species
UACGUAGGGGGCUAGCGUUGUCCGGAAUCAUUGGGCGUAAAGCGCGCGUAGGCGGCCCGGUAAGUCCGCUGUAAAAGUCCAGGGCUCAACCCUGGAAAGCCGGUGGAUACUGCCGGGCUAGAGUCCGGAAGAGGCGAGUAGAAUUCCUGGUGUAACGGUGGAAUGCGCAGAUAUCAGGAGGAACACCAGUGGCGAAGGCGGCUCACUGGACCGGUACUGACGCUGAUGCGCGAAAGCGUGGGGAGCAAACAGG